GACGAACGCUAGCUACAGGCUUAACACAUGCAAGUCGAGGGGCAGCAGGGAUUUAGCUUGCUAAAUUCGCUGGCGACCGGCGCACGGGUGCGUAACGCGUAUCCAACUUUCCCGUUACUCUGGGAUAGCCUUCCGAAAGGGAGAUUAAUACGAGAUGGUGUUCUAAUUUCGCAUGUUAUUAGAACUAAAGAUUUAUCGGUAACGGAUAGGGAUGCGUGACAUUAGAUAGUUGGCGGGGUAACGGCCCACCAAGUCUACGAUGUCUAGGGGUUCUGAGAGGAAGGUCCCCCACACUGGAACUGAGACACGGUCCAGACUCCUACGGGAGGCAGCAGUGAGGAAUAUUGGUCAAUGGCCGAGAGGCUGAACCAGCCAAGUAGCGUGAAGGAUGAAGGUUCUAUGGAUUGUAAACUUCUUUUAUACGGGAAUAACAUCACCUACGUGUAGGUGCCUGCAUGUACCGUAUGAAUAAGCAUCGGCUAACUCCGUG
rnacentral:rRNA from 1 species